GAUGAAGAACGCAGCGAAAUGCGAUAAGUAAUGUGAAUUGCAGAAUUCAGUGAAUCAUCGAAUCUUUGAACGCACAUUGCGCCCGCCAGUAUUCUGGCGGGCAUGCCUGUCUGAGCGUCAUUUCAACCCUCAUGCCCCUAGGGCGUGGUGUUGGGGAUCAGCCAAAGCCCGCGAGGGACGGCCGGCCCCUAAAUCUAGUGGCGGACCCGUCGUGGCCUCCUCUGCGAAGUAGUGAUAUUCCGCAUCGGAGAGCGAUGAGCCCCUGCCGUUAAACCCCCAACUUUCCAAGGUUGACCUCAGAUCAGGUAGGAAUACCCGCUGAACUUAAGCAUAUCAAUAAGCGGAGGA
rnacentral:misc_RNA from 1 species